rnacentral:misc_RNA from 1 species
GAUGAAGAACGUAGCGAAAUGCGAUACGUAAUGUGAAUUGCAGAAUUCAGUGAAUCAUCGAGUCUUUGAACGCACAUUGCGCCCCCUGGUAUUCCGGGGGGCAUGCCUGUCCGAGCGUCAUUGCUGCCCUCAAGCACGGCUUGUGUGUUGGGCCUCCGUCCUCCUCCCGGGGGACGGGCCCGAAAGGCAGCGGCGGCACCGCGUCCGGUCCUCGAGCGUAUGGGGCUUCGUCACCCGAUCUUGUAGGCCCGGCCGGCGCUUGCCGACACAUCAAUCUUUUUUCCAGGUUGACCUCGGAUCAGGUAGGGAUACCCGCUGAACUUAAGCAUAUCAAUAAGCGGAGGA